AAGAGAAUCCCCUGUGAGAAAAAAGUAGAAUAGUUUAGAAUUAAAAUCUUCACCCAGUUGCUGGGACAUCUUACCUUUCCCUCAGCAUCCUUACUAUGCUAGAAAACCUUUCACAUCAGAAGAAAUCUGCGCCAGUCAUUAGGAUUCUUAAGGAGUACAGUGGUUGUCAGAGUGAUUGGUGAGACAUGCUGCUACUGAAACAAAGAAUGAAGCUGACUUUGAUCUUUCUGAGUGUCAUAUGAUGCUGAUGGGAAAUUUUUUCCUGACCCACCUUUGCUACAUUCUUCUGAAUGGUCAAGGCCAGAAGUACUUGUGACCUCUAAUGAUAUUCAGCUAUCAAGAUUCCCUUUGCCUGAGAGUAAAAAUAUUCCAAAUUGGUGAAUUACACUGCUAUGGGUCAGGGCCUACCUAUUUGUUUUACUAGGAAUUCUACGAAUGCUGGAUGUAUUUCUGUGCACCCCAAGACUUGGAUGAAGAAUAUAGUGUAAAGCAUUAAGAUAAGAAUGCCUAUAUCCCAAACUGGAUGAGCUGCCUUGACUCAGGUGCCUUGACUCAGACCUUGUGGGUCAAAAAAUAUGGAGACUGUGGAAUCUAUCUUCAAAAAAAAAAAAAAAAGCCAACAGCAACCACACAGAUAAGUAGAGAUAUUGUUAUAAUGAUCCUCCUCUUUCCUUUAAUGUAACCAGUUAUUCCUACUCAAUCAUGGCCUGGCCUGGAAAUCAAUCCAACAUUGAAUAAAAGAUUAGGUGGGG